rnacentral:lncRNA from 1 species
GGACUCUCUUUUUCCUCUUGUAAAGGUUUGAUUUCUGCAAAGCAGCACUUGUGACUAGGGGACCAGGGGAACAUAAAAAUCCCAAACAAUGCAUUUCAUGGAAAAUUCCCAGCUAGCUACACAGGUAGCAUGCUGGGCACUCAGGGGAUCUGGCUUCACUUCCCUGCUCUGUUCAGUGUGAGACUUGGGGGUUUCGCUCAGGGUACGAGUUUUCAAAAAACCCCUCGUUCCAAGUUGGCUUAAACUUCUUCAUCUUCAUAAAGGUGAAUGGUCACCUACCUCCUGUUACUUUCUCAGACUGCCAAGAAAUCCAGUUUUGGAAUGACUGAUGAGGGCAGCCAGUGGUAACCAAAGAACUCCCAAAGGCAAAUGAAGGGCCUGUAGCUCACAAGUCAACUUCCCAUGCUCAUUUCAAACAAGUUUUCAUGCUCCUUCACCCCUUCCCCAAGUCCCUGGUUGAUUUAUUCUAUUGCUGUCUCCUAAAUGCCUUUGGGUUUUUAAUUUCCUCAGGGGUCUUCAGUAAGGAGGGGACCCUCACGCUGAAGCUGGUGAACGUACGUGCCAUCGACACCCACUUCUCAGAUAUUGCUAAAACAUUUAACAAGCAGCACAAUGAUCACUCUGCCAUGAUGAGGGCUGCCCAAAAGCUGAAGGAGGUUUCUGGCUGUGCUCCCACUGCUAGUCUUACAGCCUGCAUAGAGAUGAUGCAGCAGGAGCAUGGUGCCUGCACCUUGCAGGUGCACGUGGAAGGCUAUAGCUUUUUCCUCCUUGUGAAGGACAAGAAAGUGCCUGACAAACUGAAGCAGGCCCAGCAGCAGGUGGGGGAGCUGAGUCGUUCCACAAAGUGUGUCCUCGCAAGAAAAACGAGACUCCAGGAAAUGAUCCGCUCGGUGCUCCAGAGCCAGGCUCAGCUGGAGGAGAGGAUCAAAACUGCAAACCCUGAGUAUCUGGACCAGGUACGGCUAGAAGGUAAUCUGAGAGAGAACAUCGAAAAAAUCAGUCUGGCCAAGGAGCUCUCAGAGCAGUAUGAUGAAGCUGCCAGGAGCAUUUUGAGGGAAAUGGCCCAGCUAGCUGGCUUGAAUCCGGAAGGGGCUCCUUAAAUAGGGGCCAAAUAGAUGUUUAUAACCUGCCACACAUACAGAGCAAUAGCUUAGAGGAUGCCUGGGUGGUCAAUUGGCUUGGGAGUGUCGUUAAAUAGCACUCAGCAAAUGACUUACGGGUUGCUGUGUGCCUCGGGUCCAUUUUAUUCAAUUAUGGGCAGAAGGAUGUAUCUGGAAAAGGGAUAUUUUUUUCUACCUGAAGCAUUAACACAGGUGGACAGAAAGUGACAUCUUCAGUGCAGUGUCUUAAGUCAGCCUUUGUGCACUAAUGUAAGGAAAAAUAUUCAGUACCUGACCAAAAUAAGAGCAAUUUGCUCUGGAAAUUGGUAACAUUUCCAUCCCUACAUAAUAAAUGAGUGACUGUGGUGGAAAGGUAUUUAGGG